rnacentral:rRNA from 1 species
UACGUAGGGGGCAAGCGUUGUCCGGAUUUAUUGGGCGUAAAGAGCGUGUAGGCGGCCAGACAGGUCCGUUGUGAAAACUCGAGGCUCAACCUCGAGACGCCGAUGGAAACCGUCUGGCUAGAGUCCGGAAGAGGAGAGUGGAAUUCCUGGUGGUAGCGGUGAAAUGCGCAGAUAUCAGGAAGAACACCCGUGGCUAAGGCGGCUCUCUAGUACGGUACUGACGCUGAGACGCGAAAGCGUGGGGAGCGAACAGG